rnacentral:lncRNA from 1 species
UGAACUUUUUUUUUAUCAAAAAUUCCCUGAACUUAAUCGUCUGAACAAUUUUUCCGUGACUUUUUCCUCCGGUGAAGCUCCGGGCUUACAUGGCAAUUUUUAGGCAAUACGAGCUGAUAUGACGCUUACGUGGACCAAAAAUUGCCACAUGGAAAAUAAUAUAUAAAAAAAACAAAAAAAAAGCAAAUUCUUCUUCUUCCUCACGCAGAUCUUUUUAUUCAUGUUCAUGGCAGCCACCGCAAGUCGCGGCUGCGCCGCCACCCCUGCUCCCCUCUCCUCUCUCUCCCUCUAUCUCACUCUGCCUUCCUCCCUCGUUUAUCUCUCUCUACGUCUCCCCCUCUAUCUCUCUCUCUUUUUUCC